rnacentral:tRNA from 1 species
GUGGUAAUAGCUCAGUGGUAGAGCCGACGCUUCGCCUGCGGGGAGACCCGGGAUCGAUUCCCGGCUGCUGCC